UCAAGCGACCAAGGGCAUAAGGUGAAUGCCUUGGCACUGAGAGCCGAAGAAGGACGUGAUAAGCUGCGAAAAGUCUCGGGGAGGAGCAAAUAUCCAUUGAUCCGUGAAUGUCCGAAUGGGGAAACCCACUUGAGCAAACCUCAAGUAUCUUGUUGUGAAUACAUAGCAACAAGAGGGAAUAGUUGGUGAACUGAAACAUCUAAGUAGCCAGACGAAAAGAAAGAAAAAAUUCGAUUUUCAAAGUAGCGGCGAGCGAAAUGGAAAGAGCCCAAAUUAAGUCAAGGGAGAAGAAGGAUAGUAGAAUGGUAUGGGAAGACCAACCGAAGAAAGUGAAAGUCUUGUAAACGAAAUCCAACUGAUUCUGACUUAGAAAGAGUAGCAUGGGACACGAGAAAUCCUGUGUGAAUAUAGGGGGACCACCCCCUAAGGCUAAAUACUACUCAGUGACCGAUAGAGAAUAGUACCGUGAGGGAAAGGUGAAAAGAACCCCGGGAGGGGAGUGAAAUAGAACCUGAAACCUUAUGCCUACAAGCAGAUAGAGUCUUAAGAGAGAUGAUAUCGUACUUUUUGUAGAACGGGCCAGCGAGUUAUGGUGUGCGGCAAGGUUAAGUAAUGAAGUUACGGAGCCGUAGGGAAACCGAGUCUGAAUAGGGCGAGAUAGUCGUAUGCCAUAGACCCGAAACCAGGUGAUCUAUCCAUGAGCAGGUUGAAGUGAAAGUAAAAUUUCAUGGAGGACCGAACCGGGUAGCGUUUAAAAGCUAUCGGAUGACUUGUGGAUAGGGGUGAAAAGCCAAUCGAACUUGGAGAUAGCUGGUUCUCCUCGAAAUAGCUUUAGGGCUAGCCUCAAUUUAGUUUACAGGGGGUAGAGCACUGAAUACCGUAGGGGUGUUAGACAUUACCGAAAGUUAUCAAACUGCGAAUACCUGAUAAAUGAUGAUUGGGAGUCAGACUAUGUGGGAUAAGCUUCAUAGUCAAAAGGGAAAGAGCCCAGACCACCAGCUAAGGUCCCUAAAUAUAGAUUAAGUGGUAAAGGAUGUUUUACUACUUAGACAACCAGGAUGUUGGCUUAGAAGCAGCCAUACAUUUAAAGAGUGCGUAAUAGCUCACUGGUCAAGUGGUAGAGCGCCGAAAAUGAACGGGGCUAAAAUCUAAUACCGAAGCUGUGGACUAAUUUAAUUAGUGGUAGAGGAGCAUUGUGUAAGGGGCGAAGCUAAGUUGGAAGACGAAGUGGACUUUACAGAAGAGAGAAUGCUGGCAUGAGUAGCGAAAAGGAGGGUGAGAAUCCCUCCCGUCGAAAGCCUAAGGAUUCCUGAGGAAGGCUCGUCCUCUCAGGGUAAGUCGGGACCUAAGCCCAGGCUGAAAAGCGUAAGCGAUGGACAACAGGUUGAGAUUCCUGUACUAUCUUUGAAUGUUUGAGAGAUGUACUGACGCAGGAGGAUAUGUUGAGCGUGUGAAUGGUAGAGCACGUCUAAGCAAGUAGGUAGAGAAUAGAGGCAAAUCCCUAUUCUUAAUAUCGAGAUGCGAUGGGGAGCGAAAAAUAAGUAGUGAAGCAACAGAUUCCAAACUGCCAAGAAAAGGUACUAUUGAGUGAGAAGAUACCCGUACCAAAACCGACACAGGUAGGCAAGGAGAGAAUCCUAAGACGCGCGGAAGAACCUUUGUUAAGGAACUCGGCAAAAUGACCCCGUAACUUCGGGAGAAGGGGUACCAUUAGAUGUGAGAUACUUACGUAUGGAGCAUAGAGUGGUCGCAGAGAAUAGGCCCAAGCAACUGUUUACCAAAAACACAAGUCUCUGCUAAAUCGAAAGAUGAAGUAUAGGGGCUGACACCUGCCCGGUGCUGGAAGGUUAAGGGGAAAUGUUAGAGCAAUCGAAGCAUAGAACUUAAGCCCCAGUAAACGGCGGCCGUAACUAUAACGGUCCUAAGGUAGCGAAAUUCCUUGUCGGGU
rnacentral:rRNA from 1 species